rnacentral:rRNA from 1 species
AUUGAACGCUGGCGGCAGGCCUAACACAUGCAAGUCGAGCGGAGCGGCGGACGGGCGAGUAAUGCCUAGGAAUCAGCCUGGCAGUGGGGGAUAACGUACGGAAACGGGCGCUAAUACCGCAUACUAGCAGAUGAGCCUAGGUGGUAUUAGCUAGUUGGUGGGGUAAAGGCCUACCAAGGCGACGAUCCGUACCUGGUCUGAGAGGAUGAUCAGGCACCCUGGAACUGAGACACGGUCCAGACUCCUACGGGAGGCAGCAGUGGGGAAUAUUGGACAAUGGGCGAAAGCCUGAUCCAGCCAUGCCGCGUGUGUGAAGAAGGUCUUCGGAUUGUAAAGCACUUUAAGUUGGGAGGCGUUACCCACAGAAUAAGCACCGGCUAACUUCGUGCCAGCAGCCGCGGUAAUUC